GGUUAAGCGACUAAGCGUACACGGUGGAUGCCCUGGCAGUCAGAGGCGAUGAAGGACGUGCUAAUCUGCGAAAAGCGUCGGUAAGGUGAUAUGAACCGUUAUAGCCGGCGAUGUCCGAAUGGGGAAACCCAGUGCAAUUCGUUGCACUAUCGUUAACUGAAUACAUAGGUUAACGAGGCGAACCGGGGGAACUGAAACAUCUAAGUACCCCGAGGAAAAGAAAUCAACCGAGAUUCCCCCAGUAGCGGCGAGCGAACGGGGAGCAGCCCAGAGUCUGAAUCAGCUUGUGUGUUAGUGGAACGGUCUGGAAAGUCCGACGGUACAGGGUGAUAGUCCCGUACACCAAAAUGCACAGGUUGUGAACUCGAAGAGUAGGGCGGGACACGUGGUAUCCUGUCUGAAUAUGGGGGGACCAUCCUCCAAGGCUAAAUACUCCUGACUGACCGAUAGUGAACCAGUACCGUGAGGGAAAGGCGAAAAGAACCCCGGCGAGGGGAGUGAAAAAGAACCUGAAACCGUGUACGUACAAGCAGUGGGAGCACCUUCGGGUGUGACUGCGUACCUUUUGUAUAAUGGGUCAGCGACUUAUAUUCUGUAGCAAGGUUAACCGUAUAGGGGAGCCGCAGGGAAACCGAGUCUUAACUGGGCGUUAAGUUGCAGGGUAUAGACCCGAAACCCGGUGAUCUAGCCAUGGGCAGGUUGAAGGUUGGGUAACACUAACUGGAGGACCGAACCGACUAAUGUUGAAAAAUUAGCGGAUGACUUGUGGCUGGGGGUGAAAGGCCAAUCAAACCGGGAGAUAGCUGGUUCUCCCCGAAAGCUAUUUAGGUAGCGCCUCGUGAACUCAUCUUCGGGGGUAGAGCACUGUUUCGGCUAGGGGGUCAUCCCGACUUACCAACCCGAUGCAAACUACGAAUACCGAAGAAUGUUAUCACGGGAGACACACGGCGGGUGCUAACGUCCGUCGUGAAGAGGGAAACAACCCAGACCGCCAGCUAAGGUCCCAAAGUCAUGGUUAAGUGGGAAACGAUGUGGGAAGGCACAGACAGCCAGGAUGUUGGCUUAGAAGCAGCCAUCAUUUAAAGAAAGCGUAAUAGCUCACUGGUCGAGUCGGCCUGCGCGGAAGAUGUAACGGGGCUAAACCAUGCACCGAAGCUGCGGCAGCGACACUAUGUGUUGUUGGGUAGGGGAGCGUUCUGUAAGCCUGCGAAGGUGUGCUGUGAGGCAUGCUGGAGGUAUCAGAAGUGCGAAUGCUGACAUAAGUAACGAUAAAGCGGGUGAAAAGCCCGCUCGCCGGAAGACCAAGGGUUCCUGUCCAACGUUAAUCGGGGCAGGGUGAGUCGACCCCUAAGGCGAGGCCGAAAGGCGUAGUCGAUGGGAAACAGGUUAAUAUUCCUGUACUUGGUGUUACUGCGAAGGGGGGACGGAGAAGGCUAUGUUAGCCGGGCGACGGUUGUCCCGGUUUAAGCAUGUAGGCUGAUUGUCCAGGCAAAUCCGGAUAAUCAAGGCUGAGGUGUGAUGACGAGGCACUACGGUGCUGAAGUAACAAAUGCCCUGCUUCCAGGAAAAGCCUCUAAGCAUCAGGUAACAUUAAAUCGUACCCCAAACCGACACAGGUGGUCAGGUAGAGAAUACCAAGGCGCUUGAGAGAACUCGGGUGAAGGAACUAGGCAAAAUGGUGCCGUAACUUCGGGAGAAGGCACGCUGGUGUGUAGGUGAAGUCCCUGCGGAUGGAGCUGAGACCAGUCGAAGAUACCAGCUGGCUGCAACUGUUUAUUAAAAACACAGCACUGUGCAAACACGAAAGUGGACGUAUACGGUGUGACGCCUGCCCGGUGCCGGAAGGUUAAUUGAUGGGGUUAUCCGUAAGGAGAAGCUCUUGAUCGAAGCCCCGGUAAACGGCGGCCGUAACUAUAACGGUCCUAAGGUAGCGAAAUUCCUUGUCGGGUAAGUUCCGACCUGCACGAAUGGCGUAAUGAUGGCCAGGCUGUCUCCACCCGAGACUCAGUGAAAUUGAACUCGCUGUGAAGAUGCAGUGUACCCGCGGCAAGACGGAAAGACCCCGUGAACCUUUACUAUAGCUUGACACUGAACAUUGAGCCUUGAUGUGUAGGAUAGGUGGGAGGCUUUGAAGCGUGGACGCCAGUCUGCGUGGAGCCAACCUUGAAAUACCACCCUUUAAUGUUUGAUGUUCUAACGUUGGCCCCUUACCGGGGUUGCGGACAGUGUCUGGUGGGUAGUUUGACUGGGGCGGUCUCCUCCCAAAGCGUAACGGAGGAGCACGAAGGUUAGCUAAUCCUGGUCGGACAUCAGGAGGUUAGUGCAAUGGCAUAAGCUAGCUUGACUGCGAGCGUGACGGCGCGAGCAGGUGCGAAAGCAGGUCAUAGUGAUCCGGUGGUUCUGAAUGGAAGGGCCAUCGCUCAACGGAUAAAAGGUACUCCGGGGAUAACAGGCUGAUACCGCCCAAGAGUUCAUAUCGACGGCGGUGUUUGGCACCUCGAUGUCGGCUCAUCACAUCCUGGGGCUGAAGUAGGUCCCAAGGGUAUGGCUGUUCGCCAUUUAAAGUGGUACGCGAGCUGGGUUUAGAACGUCGUGAGACAGUUCGGUCCCUAUCUGCCGUGGGCGCUGGAGAAUUGAGGGGGGCUGCUCCUAGUACGAGAGGACCGGAGUGGACGCAUCACUGGUGUUCGGGUUGUCAUGCCAAUGGCACUGCCCGGUAGCUAAAUGCGGAAGAGAUAAGUGCUGAAAGCAUCUAAGCACGAAACUUGCCCCGAGAUGAGUUCUCCCUGAGACUUUAAGUCUCCUGAAGGAACGUUAAAGACGAUGACGUUGAUAGGCCGGGUGUGUAAGCGCAGCGAUGCGUUGAGCUAACCGGUACUAAUGAACCGUGAGGCUUAACCUU
rnacentral:rRNA from 1 species